rnacentral:rRNA from 2 species
GGUAAAAUCCGUAGAUAUCACCAAGAAUACCCAUUGCGAAGGCGAUCUGCUGGAACUCAACUGACGCUAAGGCGCGAAAGCGUGGGGAGCAAACAGGAUUAGAUACCCUGGUAGUCCACGCCCUAAACGAUGUACACUAGUUGUUGGGGUGCUAGUCAUCUCAGUAAUGCAGCUAACGCAUUAAGUGUACCGCCUGGGGAGUACGGUCGCAAGAUUAAAACUCAAAGGAAUAGACGGGGACCCGCACAAGCGGUGGAGCAUGUGGUUUAAUUCGAAGAUACGCGAAGAACCUUACCUGGGCUUGAUAUCCUAAGAACCUUUUAGAGAUAAGAGGGUGCUAGCUUGCUAGAACUUAGAGACAGGUGCUGCACGGCUGUCGUCAGCUCGUGUCGUGAGAUGUUGGGUUAAGUCCCGCAACGAGCGCAACCCACGUAUUUAGUUGCUAACGGUUCGGCCGAGCACUCUAAAUAGACUGCCUUCGUAAGGAGGAGGAAGGUGUGGACGACGUCAAGUCAUCAUGGCCCUUAUGCCCAGGGCGACACACGUGCUACAAUGGCAUAUACAAUGAGACGCAAUACCGCGAGGUGGAGCAAAUCUAUAAAAUAUGUCCCAGUUCGGAUUGUUCUCUGCAACUCGAGAGCAUGAAGCCGGAAUCGCUAGUAAUCGUAGAUCAGCCAUGCUACGGUGAAUACGUUCCCGGGUCUUGUACUCACCGCCCGUCACACCAUGGGAGUUGAUUUCACUCGAAGCCGGAAUACUAAACUAGUUACCGUCCACAGUGGAAUCAGCGACUGGGGUGAAGUCGUAACAAGGUAACCGUAGGAGAACCUGCGGUUGGAUCACCUCCUUUCUA